GGGAACCCUGCGCAUAUUGUUUGGGGCCGUAGAGGAAACCUCGGCCGGACUUCCUUGCGGGUUUAGUCUCAAAUAGGCGGUAAACCUGGACUAGGGUCUUGUGUGGUUAACGGUCGUGGCCGACAGCCACGCCAGUGCUUCCGCUUGAAGGUUACCGAGAUGCAUGACGUGCAUAUGGUGCUAAGUGGUGAGAGCAUGUGUGAAUAAGUAUACCCAUGCAGGGUGAUUUAAUCUGUUCGAAUAGCCGCGUCCUCGGAUAUGGACUACUUGGAAACAUUACGUAGUACAUAGACAACUUAAAUGGAUACUCUAAAACAUGCAAGAUAAGUGUGAGUGCUAUGGAAGGCUUUCUCGUAGGGAGACGAGAGUGGAUCCAUAAUGGUGUAUUACACUGGUGAAUAUGUGGACUCGUGUGCGCUAUCCCACCUCAAAGAAAGAACUUGUAGUCGUAGUACAUGUU
rnacentral:lncRNA from 1 species